rnacentral:rRNA from 1 species
AACGCGAAGAACCUUACCUCGGCUCGAAUGCGGUGGAUAAGUCCUAGAGAUAGGGCGAUCCGAGUAAUCGGCUCCUGCCUCCAAGGUGCUGCAUGGCUGUCGUCAGCUCGUGUCGUGAGAUGUUGGGUUAAGUCCCGCAACGAGCGCAACCCUUACCUUGAGUUACCAUCAUUAAGUUGGGGACUCUAGCGGAACUGCCGGUGAUAAACCGGAGGAAGGUGGGGAUGACGUCAAGUCCUCAUGGCCCUUAUGUCCAGGGCUACCCACGUGCUACAAUGGACGGUACAAACCGCUGCGAAGUCGCGAGAUGGAGCUAAUCGGAAAAAACCGUUCUCAGUUCGGAUUGCAGUCUGCAACUCGACUGCAUGAAGUGGAAUCGCUAGUAAUCGCAGAUCAUCAUGCUGCGAAUACCUUCCCGGGUCUUGUACACACCG